rnacentral:piRNA from 1 species
UGUUAGCACCGUAGUACGGGUUCAGCAUU